UACGUAGGGUGCAAGCGUUAAUCGGAAUUACUGGGCGUAAAGCGUGCGCAGGCGGUUGGGUAAGCCAGAUGUGAAAUCCCCGGGCUUAACCUGGGAAUGGCAUUUGGGACUGCAAGGCUGGAGUUUGGCAGAGGAGACUGGAAUUCCUGGUGUAGCAGUGAAAUGCGUAGAUAUCAGGAGGAAUACCGAUGGCGAAGGCAGGUCUCUGGGCUGAAACUGACGCUCAUGCACGAAAGCGUGGGGAGCAAACAGG
rnacentral:rRNA from 1 species